UUGGUUCUUGCCCGACUAUUUUACUUACUCCUACAUAGAAAUGCACAUUUAAUUUGCUGCAUGAGAAUUGAAUAGAUCGGCGGUUUAUUCAGAGAAAGCAUUGAUUGUCAGAUUGAACUCCAAUUUUCGGAAGAUGAAAACCCUGAUAGUAUUUUGUUGCCUUGUGGCUGCAAGUUUUGCUUCUCCUUUUAAAUUUAAAUUUAAGCAAGGAUCUGCCAUUUAUGAGGCAAUUGCCAAAACUACAUCGAUGGUACAAAAGAGAGACACUGUAAAGAGAGAUGCCAUUGCCAUGGCUUUUAGAUGGAUUGAUACAAAUAGGGAUGACCACAUUGAUGGUAAUGAAUUUGCCACAUUUUAUGCAAAUGCAAACAUACCUGGACUGGACUACAGCAGGACUCGAUGGAGACAAUUGUUCUACUUAGCCAUGCCUCAAGCUGACACAAACGGGAAUGAAGAGCUAGAGAUUGGCGAAUUCCGUUCGUUAGCAGAACGUGGAAUGAGAGGAUAUUAAAGACAGAAUGUGACAACGUUCCACCCGUUAUUCUCACAGUCAUUACAGUGAAAUUGACUUAAAAGUCUGAUUCCAAAUUGACUAUUUUCAGUUCUGACUUUAAACAAAACUUGUGUUUAUUUUUCAAAAAUGCUUAACAAGUCAUUUGUCCGUUUUAACGAAAGCUGCACUUCCCGAAAUCAAAAUUAAUUUUCAACAAAUUUUUUAACACACGAAUGUGAAAUUGGCCUAUUUAUUUACCCGUUUCAAAAUCUAAAGCCUGCUUACAUUUUUUUUUAAAGUUGCUUAUCAUUUGCUCUCUUGUGGAUAGUUGCCUCGCUGGCAAUCAUACAACAUCUUUUUUUUAAUUUUUAUAUUAACAAAAUUUAAAGAGUGUUAACCAAAACUGUGUUAAUUGUUGACGGUGUCUUUAUCAAAUAAAGUACAAGCAAAUUAUAGUUUCUUAUUGUUUCAGGAACCAAUAAAAUUAUAAACGUG